UACCGGGAUAUGGAACGUCUGAA
rnacentral:miRNA from 1 species